rnacentral:rRNA from 1 species
AGAGUUUGAUCCUGGCUCAGGACGAACGCUGGCGGUGCGCCUUAUGCAUGCAAGUCGAGCGAAGCUUUUCAGUAGUUUACUACAGAAAAUGACUAAGCGGCGAACGGGUGAGUAACGCGUGAGCAACCUACCUUAGUUACUGGGAUAGCCCGAGGAAACUCGGAUUAAUACCGGAUAUUCUUAUUUAAUCACAUGAUUUUUUAAGGAAAGGUCAGCCGAACUAAGAUGGGCUCGCGUUCUAUCAGCUAGUUGGUAGGGUAACGGCCUACCAAGGCUACGACGGAUAGCUGGUCUGAGAGGACGAUCAGCCACACUGGGACUGAGACACGGCCCAGACUCCUACGGGAGGCUGCAACAGGGAAUAUCGCGCAAUGAGCGAAAGCUUGACGCAGCGACACCGCGUGUGGGAUGACGGAUCUAGGUUUGUAAACCACUUUCAGGAGGGAAGAAAAUGACGGUACCUCCACAAGAAGCCCCGGCCAACUACGUGCCAGCAGCCGCGGUAAUACGUAGGGGGCGAGCGUUGUCCGGAUUUAUUGGGCGUAAAGAGCUCGUAGGCGGUUCAACAAGUCGGUCGUGAAAGUUCAGGGCUCAACCCUGAAAUGUCGAUCGAUACUGUUGUGACUAGGAUACGGUAGAGGUGAGUGGAAUUCCGAGUGUAGCGGUGAAAUGCGUAGAUAUUCGGAGGAACACCAAUUGCGAAGGCAGCUCACUGGGCCGCUAUCGACGCUGAGGAGCGAAAGCUAGGGGAGCAAACAGGAUUAGAUACCCUGGUAGUCCUAGCUGUAACGAUGGAUACUAGACGUAGGAUUGGAUUACGAUUUCUGUGUCGUAGCUAACGCGUAGUAUCCCGCUGGGGAGUACGUCGCAGACUUAAACUCAAAGAUGGACGGGACCCUGCACAGCGGCGGAGCAUGCGGCUUAUCGAUGGAUACCGUAGAACUACUGGACUUGAACAUAGGAAGUUUAGAAAUAUAAUGUGGCAUAGCCCCUAUACAGGGGUGCCAUGCGUCUCCACCUUGGUCUGGAAGUUGGUUAGUUCGCACAGAGCAACCGUUCUAUUGGCUAAGAAUGGUGGGGGACU